rnacentral:rRNA from 1 species
GUUGCCAGCCCGCUCAGAAACUUAAAUGAAUUGACGGGGCCCGGCACAAGCGGUGGAGCAUGUGGUUAAUUCGAUGAUACGCGAGGAACCUUACCUGGGCUCAAAUGUAUGUUGACGUAUUCUGAAAGGGAUACUUCUUCGGACAAUAUACAAGGUGCUGCAUGGUUGUCGUCAGCUCGUGCCGUGAGGUGUCGGGUUAAGUCCCAUAACGAGCGCAACCCUAUCAUUAGUUGCCAUCAGGUCAAGCUGGGGACUCUAAUGAAACUGCCUACGCAAGUAGUGAGGAAGGUGGGGAUGACGUCAAGUCAUCAUGGCCCUUACGGCCUGGGCUACACACGUGCUACAAUGGUCGGUACAAAGGGUUGCCAAGCCGCGAGGUGGAGCUAAUCCCAUAAAACCGAUCGUAGUCCGGAUCGCAGUCUGCAACUCGACUGCGUGAAGUCGGAAUCGCUAGUAAUCGUGAAUCAGAGUGUCACGGUGAAUACGUUCCCGGGCCUU